AUUGAACGCUGGCGGCAUGCCUUACACAUGCAAGUCGAACGGCAGCGGACCUUCGGGUGCCGGCGAGUGGCGAACGGGUGAGUAAAGUAUCGGAACGUACCUUUCAGUGGGGGAUAACGUAGCGAAAGUUACGCUAAUACCGCAUAUUCUCUGAGGAGGAAAGCAGGGGACCUUCGGGCCUUGCGCUGAUGGAGCGGCCGAUAUCAGAUUAGCUAGUUGGUGGGGUAAAGGCCUACCAAGGCGACGAUCUGUAGCGGGUCUGAGAGGAUGAUCCGCCACACUGGGACUGAGACACGGCCCAGACUCCUACGGGAGGCAGCAGUGGGGAAUUUUGGACAAUGGGCGAAAGCCUGAUCCAGCCAUGCCGCGUGAGUGAAGAAGGCCUUCGGGUUGUAAAGCUCUUUCGGCCGGGAAGAAAUCGUGUGGGCUAAUACCCUGCAUGGAUGACGGUACCGGAAUAAGAAGCACCGGCUAACUACGUGCCAGCAGCCGCAGUAAUAC
rnacentral:rRNA from 1 species